rnacentral:rRNA from 1 species
UACGUAGGGUGCAAGCGUUAAUCGGAAUUACUGGGCGUAAAGCGUGCGCAGGCGGCUUCGCAAGUCAGGCGUGAAAUCCCCGGGCUUAACCUGGGAAUGGCGUCUGAAACUACGGAGCUGGAGUGUGGCAGAGGGAGGUAGAAUUCCACGUGUAGCGGUGAAAUGCGUAGAUAUGUGGAGGAAUACCGGUGGCGAAGGCAGCCUCCUGGGCCAACACUGACGCUCAUGCACGAAAGCGUGGGGAGCAAACAGG